GGAGAGAUGGCUGAGUGGUCGAUAGCGGCGGUCUUGAAAACCGUUGAACCUUCACGGGUUCCGGGGGUUCGAAUCCCUCUCUCUCCGCCA
rnacentral:tRNA from 1 species